rnacentral:lncRNA from 1 species
GGUAGAGGUUUUAGAAAGUAUCCAUGUAGAGGUGAUGAUGAUUGAGCAACAAUAGAUCAAGUAGGCUUAUUAAGAGAGAGAGAAGCUCAACAAUAUAUGGCCAAACUUUGCAACCAAUCUCAGUCACUAUCCCAAAAUACUAAGCAAGAACCGUAGCAGCUAUAUAGAGUACGAGUGGAAGAGCUUCGACAAAAAGGGGAGAAAAGGUUCAACAACCUGUACCAUUAGAUCUCAGCAAGGUAAGCUAAUUCUGGCCCUUUCCAAUCCUUUUCCAUUCCAUUUUUUUUCUACUAGUGAUCUGUAAUGGCCGAUUGGCCUGAAAAGAAAAUGAAGGGGCUACUAUAUUGUGUUAGUAUUGUUAAUGUUUUGAGGUGGCUGUGUGAGUGGAUUAAAUUGUUGGUUAAAUUAAAUUAACUGAUGAGGAAAUUAGUGAAUUAAGCUUUCAUCACCACUGUUUAUUCAUGGGUAAUUGUAACCAUUUAUAAGAGUUGUGAUAUCAAACUUUUAAUAAUAAACUAUCUUGUUUAAAACUAAUAUAUGCAAGUUGUGAUGAAAUGGACUGUUGUGAAUUGAAAUUAGGCACAAGGAGAUAGGUUGGGUUGUGGAGUAAUAAGGAUGUUAUUAUGGACUUUUGAUGUAGAUAAAUGGCUGUGAAAUUUGUAACACAAAACUAUGCAUUCAUGGUGUUUGUUAAAAUACCCAAAUGAAAUAAAUAUGUUAAAACAUGAGAAGUUGCUAGCACUACAAGCAAGAUAGCAUACCUACAUGAAUCGGAAGACAACUUAUGUUGGUAGAUUAUGUUAAAAUAGAUUCACAAUGAUUUUUGAAGAUGUUAUUACAAGUUGAGUUCUAUGAAAAUCUAUGGAGAGCAGUCACUUUUGAGCCUCUAUUAGUAUGCCUUAAAGAAUCCUUUUUGGCUAUAUUAUAAUUUCCUAAAAUACUAUGUAGUAUAGUUUAGAACAUAUCAAAAUUUGGGAACAACCGGAUAAAAGGAUUGCAAGAUACAAAAUUGCGAAGUAGCUAAGAAAUCAUCAAAAGUGCUGGAAAUUCGAGCAGUCCCCUUGCACGGAUUUUCUGGAAUUUUGUACUAAUAAUUUGAAAAUGGUCAAAGAAUAAAAGUUGUUGUCCCGGAAGUUAGCUUCGUGUGGGCGCAAGAAUCGCUCAAAAAUGUUUUGAAACGAAGAAGUUAUGACUGUUUUAGAGAUAGAAGGUAAAGCUGAAACGAAAUUGAAAAUUUUAAUGAACGUCCACUUUUGAUCGCUGUGUUAGGCUGUUUGUAAGGUCUGAAUUGGACGUGUAUUAUCUUAAUAAUAUAGCUUGAUAUGGAAUGUUUAUCAUAAUCAACAAUGGAUGUGAACCAAAAUAGGAGCUAGAACUUUAAGAUAUCUCAAAGUGGCAAAAAGGGGAAGCUUGUUGCUGUGUUUCUGCAACAAUGGGUUGUAGCAGCGUGCUAGAGGGCAGCAGUGAGAUCUCCCUUGCUCUCUCAAAUGUUGUGUUAUUUACCUAAGAUAUUUGGCUAAUAUUUUCUUAAAUAAGUGGGUAUAACACCUAUACAAUAUUCAAACUUUCAACAUCAACGGAUCAAAAUUAUGGGGAACGAAGUACUAUCAAAAUAAAAGAUGAGAAGUUGGGGCUGCUGCCCAUUGGCAGCAGCAGUUGGCAGUGAGCAGCUAUAAUAGCAGCGUUGGCGGCCUAUUCUUGGCUUUGUGGUGUAAUUUGAUAAAUUACCUAUGAAGUUUGGGUUAUUAUUUCUAUAUAAGUACGAAGGGUAUAAAAAAUGUGUAUAUGAAUUAUGUAUUAUGUAAUAUGAUGCAGUAAGUUUUAAGUAUGAGAGUUAUGGGUUAAAGUAUGUAUGAUAUAUACAUAAUUGCUGAGUCAAAUGCUUUUAAACAUGAUGUGUUAAGUUGUGAGCUAAUUAAGAGACACGAUGCAUUCUUUAGCUGAUAAAUGAAAAUGCUUGUGCUCAAGAGCUUGGGACUGUUGAGGAUUUAACUUCUAAGCAUGCCUAAAGUGUCCUAUAUGGACUGUUUUUGUAUUCAAAAGAUGGCUGACUUUUGCAAACAUAAAUAGAGAAAUGAUUCUAUGUUAUAAGCAUGUUUUAAGGAUUGCUUGAAUGCCUAAAGUUCUCUUUUUCCUACUUGUGGACUGUUUUGGGAGUUAUAGCCAAAACUGUAUAGACAAGUUCCAAUAGCUAAAAUAUGACCCAAGUAAGCUACAUAAGCUAAGGGAACCAAGUCUAAACUGUUUUGAUCCUUAGACUUGUUAAAAAUCACAUUUUUAGAGACAUAGUGGACUGUUUUGGGAAAUUGUUAGCACUUGAAGUUAAGGGGCUAUAAUAAAGUCAAAUAAAGUCCCUAAUACCUGCUAUAACAGUUCCAAAUCAUGACCAUUACAAAAGCUAGCAAGAAAACCAAUAUAAGCUCUCUUUUUAAGCCUAAAGUGAGCUUUGAUAAGACAAAAUGGGCUAGAUGAUUAAAUAAAGUGUGGUAAUGCUAAAAGUAACCUUAAUUAACUUAAAUAUACAUGCCUAGACUAUCCUAGUGGCUAGAACUGGAAAAAAUUGGAAAAAGUACAAAAUCAGUUUUUGUAAAAAAAGUAAGAAAAUGGCUAAUUUUGAGCUCUGUUUUGGGGAGCUUAAUGGGCAUGAACAAGAAACCUAAACCUGGAUUAACAUACCUUGUAGUAUGGUCUAGAAGUAGGGCUAAGUGGUUAAGCUCUUGUCUUAACCAAGGAGUCUAAACAAAUCACCAAACUAGCUUGGAAAAUCACUAAAACUACAGUUUUGCAAAUUUGUCUAAGUAUGAAAUCUUGAGAUUUUUCUAUUCUACUUAGAACUCAAUUUGGACACCUUAGACAAGUAAGUUAGAGGUAUGCUAGGCUAUUACAAGUGUUGGAAUGCUAAUAUAUACAAGAACUUGUGAAGUUAGUGUGUAAAAAAGCUUGAAAAAGCUAGGUUUAAAGGGUCAAAACCCAAUCUAUGCUUGGUAAACCUAAAGGAAUGCUAGAACUAGUCUUAACUGGAUAAAAUUCAAGUGUUGAAAUGAACUAAAGUGGCUAGAAAUGAAAUUGGCAAGAAUUGACCAAAACUAGUGAGCUCAAGAACACAUGAACCCUUUAUGUUCUAAAUCCUGAAUAAAAUGUAAAUGAUAACUUUAAAGUCAUCCCUAUUGCAUGAUAUAAGCAUGUCAAACCCCAUCAAAGUGAGAAAUUAUUAAUGAGAAAACAUGGAUGAGGUAUUUGAAAAAUGUAUACAAUAUCUCAGAUAUAGAAAUAUAAACUACCACCAUGAUAACUGAAAUUACAUGUUUUGUUAUCAAUCCCACAUAUAAUGUAGGUUGUGCAAGGAACGCAAAAGUUGGUGUAAUGGUAAAACCGCGGUACAGGCAAGUUUCUCAGUUUAUUUAUGUGGACUUAUAAAUUACUAUAGAUACUUGUUAGCAUGAUUUAUGUUUAUAAGUAUGUAAUACCUAUGAACUGCAUUAUUUGCUUUGUGAAUGAUGAAUGUCAAAUUAUGACUAAUUAUUGAAUUGAGUCGGGGAACUCAAUAUAUAUGUGCAAUGAACGAUAUGUACAUGACACGUGUAGCAUGCUAUGGUAUGUAUGUUGCUACCGGCAGGACAUAAAUGUGAUAAUGCAUUUGUAAUAUGCUUGAACACCAAGAAUAUAAAUGCAUGAAUUGAAUAUGAAACCUAUGUGCUAUGUGAUCCAUGAUAAACUGUUAGACUUGUUGGGCCGUUGUGCUCAAUCUUGCUUAAUUUGUAGGUUAAAGCUAUGAUGCGAUCUAUCGUGAUUAGGAGCGCAUGAAAAGAAG